AGCAGGGGGCCCCCCAGCCUUGGUCCCAGUUUGACUGGAUCAGCAGUGGCCUUGGUAUCAACCGUCUGGAUGAGCUAGACAGUGACACAAGCAGCCGUCCAGCUGACACCCUGAACCACCUCAUGUCUACUAUGGAGAAUACCACCACCUCCACCAGGAAACCCCAUAGGGAUGAGGAGGACCAGCUGAGUGAGGAGGCAGCCAGGGUGAUCUGUGGGCUGGCUGACCUGUCCUUCAUGAAGGCUAAGGUCCUAAUGUUCCCCAUCACCCUCACACCAGCCGCUGGCUCUGGUACACUGCUAGAGUGAUGCACACAUGGAUGGAUGCACACACACACAAACACAGAAGACUUGUCCGCUUCAAAGCUAGAUUGAACAUUAAUGCAAAGUCAAAAUGUUGAUAAUCAGUAAUAUGGUGAAAUAGUUAGUCUUUUGUUCUGAAUGUAUUGAUGUAUUUAUGUUGUGACACAGUGGUUGAGGUCUAAGACUGAUCCACACUUACCUCCAGUCAUCUGCCUCGUUCCUCCAGUGGUCUUAGAUCAAUUUCCUGUUUCCCUUUUCAAGAUGAACAUUUUAUCUUCAUGUAUUUAUUAUUGAUGUGUGUAUAGUUAUUCAUGUAAAUUCAUCAUAAAUCCAUAGGAAAUAUAUUGUAUUUAAUAUUUACAUAACAGUUUGGAAAUAACAAUAUUUAUAUGAUAUAUGUUUGUGUUGUUGAUCUAGAGUGUGAUUUCCUCUUAAAUGGCACCCUAUUCCCUAUAUAGUGUACUAUUAUUGUCCAGAGCCAUAUGGGACCUGGUGAAA